GUUUCACUAACAGGUCUUUCUUGACUUGUUUAAUAUCAAGAAAGGGCAUUGCUUGAAUAUGAAGGGACGGAAAAUUGUGAUGAGAUGCAAUGUUUUGAUGAGACUGGAUUUAAGCUUCUUUCAGAUCACGUGGCACAUCCCAUAUGCCAUGUAGUUAUUAGAAAGCUGGAUUUUAUAGAAUACAAUCCUUAAGUAGAUCAUUCUUUCUGCACUUACACUGGCCUGGGAUUUGCAAUUCCUUCGAAUCUAUGUUAUGUUUAUGCUGUAUUUUUUUAGCGUAGGCAUUUUUCUUAACCUCUACAGGUUCUGUAAACUGUGGGUUGUGAUGAGGUUUGGUAUCCCAUUUGCUGGAUAAAGCUGAUUGUUGGGCCUGGAUAACCUUGUGAUAGUAAUGUAAAUGAGUUUAUUUAUUUAUUUUUCCUUCAAAUUUGAUGGUUUUAGUUCGGUAAUCUUUGGUGAUUGGGGAGCCAAUUGCUCAGGUGCAAGAUGGCUGUUGUCUGUUCUGGAAAUUUAUCUUUCAUCUUCUCCUCAUAAAUAUCUCAAUCAUGCAUCCAUCAUUUUAAGUCCCUUUAUUCUGUCUAUGCAGGAAUACAUGACGGAGUGUGUAUU
rnacentral:misc_RNA from 1 species